UGUUCUUGUCGUCAUCAUCGCUGCUGUGGUUGGAUUCAAGGUUCACAGAAAGAGGAACGCCAAACCCUCUUCUUCUUCUUCUGCUUCUACUGAGGGCUCUGAGGUCACUGAGGAACUGAAUCCUAAACCUUGAAGUCGGCGUCCUGCACACAGUUUAUGGGUGAAUGUUGCUCUGGAUCAACAAGCGAUGCUCCACAUUCUUCUCCAUAAACUGUCAAUUUAUGGCUCAUCUUUCAUUUAAACGUCUGAAUCAGGGUUGGUGAACAUCUGGAAACUGUGAGGAAA